AUUGAACGCUGGCGGCAGGCCUAACACAUGCAAGUCGAGCGAGCGGCGGACGGGUGAGUAAUGCCUUGGAAUUGCCCAGUCGAGGGGGAUAACAGUUGGAAACGACUGCUAAUACCCCAUACGAUUGGAUUGCCCAGGUGGGAUUAGCUAGUUGGUGAGGUAAUGGCUCACAAAGGCAACGAUCCCUAGCUGGUCUGAGAGGAUGAACAGCAACAGUGGACCUGAGACACGGUCAAGAGUCCUACGGAGGGAAGAAGUGGGGAAUAUUGGAAAAUGGGGAAAGCCCGGAUGCAGACAUGCCGCGUGUGUAAAGAAGGCCUUCGGGUGGUAAAGCACUUUCAGCGAGGAGGCGUUACUCGCAGAAGAAGCACCGGCUAACUCCGUGCCAGCAGCCGCGGUAAUUC
rnacentral:rRNA from 1 species